rnacentral:tRNA from 1 species
GGGUCUAUGGUGUAGCCUGGAUAGCACGGAGGCUUCCGGAGCCUCAGACCCGGGUUCGAAUCCCGGUAGACCCA